GGCAAGACCGAAGUCGAUCAAGUGCAGCGUCUUGCGGGUCGUUCCGCGACCCAGCAGGACAUUGUCCGGCUUCAGGUCGCGGUGAACGUACCCCAGCUCGUGGAAUGUUUCCAGCCUGUCGAGCAGUUGCAGCGCUAGCUGCGAAACCGUCUUCAGACCGAAGCGUCCUCCGCACAAGUUCAGUAAGUCCUGCAGUGAUGGCCCCAGGCGCUCCAAAACCAGCACGUCGCGUUUGCGAUACGUACCGGCGUCGAUGAGUCUGGGCCAUCCACGAGCCUUCGGCAGCCGCGCAUAGAUCCGGCGCUCCGUGGCGAGCAGGAGCCGGUCCACCUCUUUGCUGGCCAUUUUCAUCACCACCGGCUGCUUGGAGCGGGCAUGGCUGCCCACCAACACCGUGCCGCAGCCACCAGCAUCGAAUUCGCCUUCAAUCCGAUAGGUGGAGAGAUUCACCACCAUCAAGGACUCCGGCGAACUAGAAUUGGGCGCACGUCCUUCUCUAAUCGACAUGUUCGAUUCUCUUUGGCCACCUGCGAAAUGUAACUGGAAGCAACAGCAGAAUCAAUUUUUCGCAAAAACACUCGAAAAAACCGUUAAAAGUGAGAGCGAACGAAAACACGUCACCUUGCGUUUACUCGUAGUGAGGAUAUAACCUGAUGCAUAAGUGUGGUCUACAUAUAUAGCCUUUGGUUGGGUGAUGUUCACAUGUGUACUACGAUCGAAACAGCAACUUGACAGAUUACGCAUUUUUUUCGGCUGGUAACCAUCUAGUUACCUGUGGUGUGUGGGUUUUGGAAAACGCAUCCAAGUGUUGUUACAUUUCCAGGUCCGAUUUUGGUUCAUUUCGUCGUACCGGUGCCCUGGCCUGGCGUGGCCUGUGCGAGUUCUGUGCAGAUCCUGUGUCGCGUCCUGUGUGCUUCUUUUAUUGGGGUUUUCUUUUUUACGGCUUUUUUGUACGGGUAAAAGUGAUAAGGUUUUCUGGGACAGUGGCGCUCAGCAUCGUUCCCUUCAUCCUUCCGUGGAGAUGAAAAGCCAGACCAACAGCCAGCAGCUGUAUCACACCCGCCACCGUGCGUCUCCAUGAGAAUGCGUCAAAGUGGUGGACGCUUUUAUCUCCGAAACAGGAUCAACAUCAAAGCAUCAACCGGCGGCAGAAUUUAAAAAAGAACUUACAUAUUACCCAGGCUGGAUGGACGCAAGCCUUUAAAGUAUGAAUGCAAAAGUAUUGAAAACCUCGCCCGGAUUGGAACUUUAGAGAACUAAAAA